AACUUUUGGCAAUGGAUCACUUGGCUCUCGCAUCGAUGAGGAACGCAGCGAAAUGCGAUAAGUAUGUGAAUUGCAGAAUUCAGUGAAUCAUCGAAUCUUUGAACGCACCUUGCGCUCCUUGGUAUUCCGAGGAGCAUGCCUGUUUGAGUGUCAUUAAAUUCUCAACCUUAUCAGCUUUUGCUGAUAGUGGCUUGGAUGUGGGGUUGCUGGCUCCUUUAUCGAGGUCAGCUUCCCUUAAAUGCAUUAGCUGGUGCCCCGUGUGGACUUGUCUAUUGGUGUGAUAAUUAUCUACGCCGUGGAUGUCUGCAAUUUUGCACUGCUUCUAACCGUCUGUUCAUUCGGACAAUACAUGACAAUUUGACCUCAAAUCAGGUAGGACUACCCGCUGAACUUAAGCAUAUCAAUAAGCGGAGGCU
rnacentral:misc_RNA from 1 species